AUUGAACGCUGGCGGCAUGCCUUACACAUGCAAGUCGAACGGCAGCACGGGAGCAAUCCUGGUGGCGAGUGGCGAACGGGUGAGUAAUGUAUCGGAACGUACCAUUGAGUGGGGGAUAACGUAGCGAAAGUUACGCUAAUACCGCAUAUACCCUGAGGGGGAAAGCAGGGGAUCGCAAGACCUUGUGCUCUUUGAGCGGCCGAUAUCAGAUUAGCUAGUUGGUGAGGUAAAGGCUCACCAAGGCGACGAUCUGUAGCGGGUCUGAGAGGAUGAUCCGCCACACUGGAACUGAGACACGGUCCAGACUCCUACGGGAGGCAGCAGUGGGGAAUUUUGGACAAUGGGGGCAACCCUGAUCCAGCCAUGCCGCGGGAGUGAAGAAGGCCUUCGGGUUGUAAACCGCUUUCGGACGGAAAGAAAUCGCUUGGGUUAAUACCCUGAGUGGAUGACGGUACCGUAAGAAGAAGCACCGGCUAACUACGUGCCAGCAGCCGCCGUAAUAC
rnacentral:rRNA from 1 species